CGGGGGGUAGAGCUCACGCUGCGAGGACAAAAACGGCAGGCUGGAGACCUUUGCUUUUGCUGGGAUUGGACGCCAACCCCCAGGGACCAAGCAAUCCCACUUCUGUGUGUACCCCAAACAAUUGAAAGCAGUUACUCGACCAGAUCUGCACACCCAUGUUUAGAGCACCAUGAUUCACAAUGGCUAAGAAGUGGAAGCAACCCAAGUGUCCAUCAACGGAUGAAUGGUCAAACUGGUCAGUGGGGAUGCCCUGAAGCCACAUGCGCAGGAAGUGGGCUGACAAGGCCUCCUGGUCCUGUAUGCAGUUGGACGCGGG